CCAGACUAACAGCAAAAUUAAAUUUAGCAAUAAGAUCAUAGAAAAGCAUUCAUACAUAUAUACGUCUUAAGUUAGUUCAUACAAACUUGACACGCUUAGAUAUAUAUAUAUAUAUAUAUAUAUAUAUAUAUAUAUCAAGUCCUAUCCCUCAAAAAUGCUACAGAAGUGAGGGAAAGCAAAGUCUAAGGAAUGAAUACCAUCUAUAGUACAUUCUUUCCACCGUCGAGGCACAAGUUUGCAACCAUCAGCACAAGACUAGUUUCGAGCAUCUCCUGCAGAGUCCGACAACACGUGCUCCUCUGGUACCUCUCUGAAUAUAACUCCUGUGACGGCGAUCAAGUCUGGAUCUUCCAUCUGUGGGGGAAGGAAAAAGGAAGGGGUGAGAACCUAUAUGGUUCCCAGUAAGGUGACAUCGUUAAAGCGCAUCUCUCUCGUGAAACCUAGAGUUUUGGCUCUAUCGUAAUAACUCACUUACUAAGUCUCUCGGCUACUCCCGUAUCGUGGGUUCUGACAUAACUCUUUCUUGGCAUCUUUCUUUGGGAUGAAUGCCGUUCUCACGCUAUUCUCUAUGAUUAUUAUUCCUAACUCUAUUACCUUAUUCUAAGCUUUGAGAAAGUUACGUCAUAAUCUUAAUAUAUAGACAAGAAUCAGAAAACAGAGAAUUAACAAGAAGCAGAUGGCACAUCGCAGAAGGAAUGAACAGUAAACAAUCACAGUCCAAUGUGCAAACAAUUUAUGAUGCAUGCCUGUUCCUAGUGCAGGCCAUGAGCUCAUGCGUCGGUUGUCUACCCGCAACCCGACGUUACUCGGGGUGAACCCCGAAUAUGGUUCCUUUACUGUGUCAAUUAGACACCUUGGCAUCACGGUUACCCGUGUCAGUUAGGCCUCAUCAUAAUAUUUUAAUGUGUAUCACAGUAACGAACAGUGCUAUCAGUUAGGCGAACAUUUUCGCAUUAGCAAUCUCAGGCUAUCAGUUAGGCGGACACUUUCGCAUUAGCAAUUUGGCACAAAGGCCCAUUCAACAUACAAAUAUGCUAUCAGUUAGGCAGACAUUCCCGCAUUAGCAACCUUGGGCUAUCAGUCAGGCGGGCACUUCUGCAUUAGUAGUUUGGCACAAAGGCCCAGUCAAACAAAUAACAUUCAACUAUCCUUUUUAUUCAUUGUUUCCUAUUUCCUGUCUUUUCAUCAUGCCUCCACAUCACCUUAUAAAUAUACAUACCUCCGCAUCACCACAUAACUAAGCAUACCUCCACAUCACCAUAUUACUAAGCAUACCUCUGCAUCACCCUUUUAACUUUAACGUUUCUAGGGGUAACUUGCAUUCACAGCAAGCAGCAGCGUUUUUAUAAAAUCCAUAAUAAUUUCAAUUCUAAUCCGUUGCUUCUAAAUUUUGGGUAGAUUACACUCAACUUUCCUAAGUUUCAGAACAAACAAGUUUUAAGUUCAUAUCACUUCAUUUGAUUAAUUAAUUCUCAAUUGGAAGUAAUGCCCUGUUUUCAUAAAUCAGUUUAGAAUUUCCAGCAAGCAACCCAGCUUCCAAGUGACUUAAUUAAGUCUACAAAAUAGAUAUGAACAUGAAAUUUGUACUCAAUUAAAGUGAAGAUGCAGAUCUUCAAAACCCCUUUGGUAGAAACUUAAAAUGUUACGUAAAACAAAAGUUCCAGUGGUUUGAGUUCGAUGUUGCAGAACCAGAAAACCAAAAAAAUUCUGCAGCAGCUAUUGUUUUCAAAAAUUCAUAUCUUUUGAACCACUUGGCCAAAUCCCUUGAAAUUUUUAUGGCACAUUCAAGACACACCUAAGUUUUACAAAAAAAAUAAUUUUAUCCAAAAAGGUGGUCCAGACUAUUACCAGAAUUUAUUUUAAGUCACUGCCAAAUAUGCAGAAAUUCUGCAUCAAGUAAUUCCAACAACCUCACAUACCAAAUCUUAUAUUUAAGCCUAAAACUCUCCUAAAACCAUAAUUCCAACUUUCUUGUGACUAACCAAAGUUGCUAGAGUGAUUAGCGCAGUCCCAAAAACCCAGAGUCAAUAUUUUCCAAGUUUUCAAGUGCUUAUACACAAGUGAACAUUCAUUUUUCUGCAUCAUGUUAAAAACAGAAUUUCCACAUGUACUUUCUAUCAUUCAUUCACAUAAUAAAUCAUCAUUCAUCAUCAUCCAACUGGGUUAGUUAUAACAGAACCCAUCUCAAGCACAACAACUUUACAGUAAGGAACAAUGCUAUCAAUUAGGCGAACAUUUCCGCAUUAGCAAUCUCAGGCUAUCAGUUAGGCGGACACUUUCGCAUUAGCAAUUUGGCACAAAGGCCCAUUCAACAUACAAAUAUGCUAUCAGUUAGGCAGACAUUCCCGCAUUAGCAACCUUGGGCUAUCAGUCAAGCGGGUACUUCUGCAUUAGUAGUUUGGCACAAAGGCCCAGUCAAACAAAUAACAUUCAACUAUCCUUUUCAUUCAUUGUUUCCUAUUUCCUGUCUUUUCAUCAUGCCUCCACAUCACCUUAUAAAUAUACAUACCUCCGCAUCACCACAUAACUAAGCAUACCUCCACAUCACCAUAUUACUAAGCAUACCUCUGCAUCACCCUUUUAACUUUAACGUUUCUAGGGGUAACUUGCAUUCUUAUUCACUUCUUAGCUUGUUUAGCCUAAUACCCUUUUGGCGACCGGUUUUCUAUCUAACGAUUAAUAUCACAAACGGACUCGGACUCGCACAAAUUUUAUGUCCACAUGUUCGUAUUAAACUCGAGUUUCUAAAGGUCUAGAAAUCAUAUUUUUCUGGGCAGUCUAUCUCCAACUAUUGAGGAAAAACGAAGACUGUUAUUCUAGGUUUGUAGGAACAGCACCUUGCUGUCUUGUUAUGUGGUUUUUAUGUUGUGAAAGCCUACGCACGGACUAUCUCUCUUAUCAAAGUAACUCUAGAGAUCCUAACCUUUACUUUGAAUUAUAUUUUACUACAUUUGGACCAGAAUUGAAUUUUAUAUAAGGUUUUAAAAUUCUGCUACUGCACAUGUAAAGAUUCAGAAAAAUAGCAAGCAGCAGCGUUUUCAUAAAAUCCAUAAUAAUUUCAAUUAUAAUCCGUUACUUCUAAAUUUUGGGUAGAUUACACUCAAAUUUCCUAAGUUUUAGAACAAACAAGUUUUAAGUUCAUAUCACUUCAUUUGAUUAAUUAAUUCUCAAUUGGAAGUAAUGCCCUGUUUUCAUAAAUCAGUUUAGAAUUUCCAGCAAGCAACCCAGCUUCCAAGUGACUUAAUUAAGUCUACAAAAUAGAUAUGAAAUAUGAAAUUUGUACUCAAUUAAAGUGAAGAUACAGAUCUUCAAAACCCCUUUGGUAGAAACUUAAAAUGUUACGUAAAACAAAAGUUCCAGUGGUUUGAGUUCGAUGUUGCAGAACCAGAAAACCAAAAAAAUUCUGCAGCAGCUAUUGUUUUCAAAAAUUCAUAUCUUUUGAACCACUUGGCCAAAUCCCUUGAAAUUUUUAUGGCACAUUCAAGACACACCUAAGUUUUACAAAAAAAUAAUUUUAUCCAAAAAGGUGGUCCGGACUAUUACCAGAAUUUAUUUUAAGUCACUGCCAAAUAUGCAGAAAUUCUGCAUCAAGUAAUUCCAACAACCUCACAUACCAAAUCUUAUAUUUAAGCCUAAAACUCUCCUAAAACCAUAAUUCCAACUUUCUUGUGACUAACCAAAGUUGCUAGAGUGAUUAGCGCAGUCCCAAAAACCCAGAGUCAAUAUUUUCCAAGUUUUCAAGUGCUUAUACACAAGUGAACAUUCAUUUUUCUGCAUCAUGUUAAAAACAGAAUUUCCACAUGUACUUUCUAUCAUUCAUUCACAUAAUAAAUCAUCAUUCAUCAUCAUCCAACUGGGUUAGUUAUAACAGAACCCAUCUCAAGCACAACAACUUAUACUACCAACUAAUUCAAUCAUAAAACAUGGCCUUUAGCCUUCAAGUAAAUUCUGCACAUAACAACUUAAAACCCCAAAUAACAUUAUCAAGCCUACAAUUCACCAACAGCACCAUCAAUCAGUCACAAAACUUCUGCAUUAGUAGUUUGGCACAAAGGCCCAGUCAAACAAAUAACAUUCAACUAUCCUUUUUAUUCAUUGUUUCCUAUUUCCUGUCUUUUCAUCAUGCCUCCACAUCACCUUAUAAAUAUACAUACCUCCGCAUCACCACAUAACUAAGCAUACCUCCACAUCACCAUAUUACUAAGCAUACCUCUGCAUCACCCUUUUAACUUUAACGUUUCUAGGGGUAACUUGCAUUCUUAUUCACUUCUUAGCUUGUUUAGCCUAAUACCCUUUUGGCGACCGGUUUUCUAUCUAACGAUUAAUAUCACAAACGGACUCGGACUCGCACAAAUUUUAUGUCCACAUGUUCGUAUUAAACUCGAGUUUCUAAAGGUCUAGAAAUCAUAUUUUUCUGGGCAGUCUAUCUCCAGCUAUUGAGGAAAAACCGAGACUGUUAUUCUAGGUUUGUAGGAACAGCACCUUGCUGUCUUGUUAUGUGGUUUUUAUGUUGUGAAAGCCUACGUACGGACUAUCUCUCUUAUCAAAGUAACUCUAGAGAUCCUAACCUUUACUUUGAAUUAUAUUUUACUACAUUUGGACCAGAAUUGAAUUUUAUAUAAGGUUUUAAAAUUCUGCUACUGCACUUGUAAAGAUUCAGAAAACAGCAAGCAGCAGCGUUUUUAUAAAAUCCAUAACAAUUUCAAUUCUAAUCCGUUGCUUCUAAAUUUUGGGUAUAUUACACUCAACUUUCCUAAGUUUCAGAACAAACAAGUUUUAAGUUCAUAUCACUUCAUUUGAUUAAUUAAUUCUCAAUUGGAAGUAAUGCCCUGUUUUCAUAAAUCAGUUUAGAAUUUCCAGCAAGCAACCCAGCUUCCAAGUGACUUAAUUAAGUCUACAAAAUAGAUAUGAACAUGAAAUUUAUACUCAAUUAAAGUGAAGAUGCAGAUCUUCAAAACCCCUUUGGUAGAAACUUAAAAUGUUACGUAAAACAAAAGUUCCAGUAGUUUGAGUUCGAUGUUGCAGAACCAGAAAACCAGAAAAAUUCUGCAGAAGCUACUGUUUUCAAAAAUUCAUAUCUUUUGAACCACUUGGCCAAAUCCCUUGAAAUUUUUAUGGCACAUUCAAGACACACCUAAGUUUUACAGAAAAAUAAUUUUAUCCAAAAAGGUGGUCCAGACUAUUACCAGAAUUUAUUUUAAGUCACUGCCAAAUAUGCAGAAAUUCUGCAUCAAGUAAUUUCAACAAUCUCACAUACCAAAUCUUAUAUUUAAACCUAAAACUCCCCUAAAACCAUAAUUCCAACUUUCUUGUGACUAACCAAAGUUGCUAGAGUGAUUAGUGCAGUCCCAAACAUCCAGAGUCAAUAUUUUCCAAGUUUUCAAGUGCUUAUACACAAGUGAACAUUCAUUUUUCUGCAUCAUGUUAAAAACAGAAUUUCCACAUGUACUUUCUAUCAUUCAUUCACAUAAUAAAUCAUCAUUCAUCAUCAUCCAACUGGGUUAGUUAUAACAGAACCCAUCUCAAGCACAACAACUUAUACUACCAACUAAUUCAAUCAUAAAACAUGGCCUUUAGCCUUCAAGUAAAUUCUGCACAUAACAACUUAAAACCCCAAAUAACAUUAUCAAGCCUACAAUUCACCAACAGCACCAUCAAUCAGUCACAAACAUAUCCUUCUAAACACUCAAACCCUUACCUCUUUUGAAGUUCAAAAUUCUGUUUGUGCUUCUUCCUUGAAUUAAAAAUCCUAGCCACACAAAAUUGAAGUUUCGGUCACUCCUCCCUUCUCCCUCAACUCCGUUUCAUUCUUUUCUUUCUUCUAUUUGUGUGUGUCUGUGAUGACCCAGAUGAAGCAAGCACUCAUAUAAGUAGAAGAAAAAGUGGAGGAACUUGUCCUGUCUCUCCUUCUUUCCGUCUUGGUUCUGCUCUCUCUCUCCCUCUCUUUGCUGCCUUCUGUUUCUUGCGUUGAAAAAGGGAGACCCAGUAGAAGCGGUGGGCGUAUAAAUAGGAGAAAAAGAAGUGGAGUGAGGUGGUGAAGAGAGUUUCGUGGUUCUUCCUCCAGAGAACACCUAACCAAAGCCCAUUAUCAUAUGAGGAAACCAAGAGGUGUAACCUUGGUUGGGGGAAGGCUUCUCUCUGUUUCGGUCAUCACAUGAAGAAUGAAGAAGAUUAGGGCUUUAAUCAUGGUUAGAUUUCUGAUGAUGCAUAUGCUUAUGGUCUGGUUGAACUGGAAAAAAAAAUGGUUUAAUGUGUGUUGGUUCAUACUUCACAAAUCUUAAUGAUAUAUCUAUACUGUUCUUUUCACUUAUCAAGUCUAAAUCCACCUUAUUAUUUUAUGGUGAGGUGAUUCUCGGAUAUUUAUCGAAUUUCUCAUCACAGAAUUUCUGAGAUUAACUCUGUAGAAAAUCGGGGUGUUAUAGGGGGAAUUAGGUUUAGUUUUUGUUAUGUUUUCUCUUAGUUUCUAGAGAGAGAAGCUCCUCCCUCUCUCUAGAAUUAGAAAUUUUAGCUUAGUUUCCUUUUAAUUUCAG
rnacentral:lncRNA from 1 species